GACGAACGCUGGCGGCGUGCUUAACACAUGCAAGUCGAACGGAAAGGCCCUGCUUUUGUGGGGUGCUCGAGUGGCGAACGGGUGAGUAACACGUGAGUAACCUGCCCUUGACUUUGGGAUAACUUCAGGAAACUGGGGCUAAUACCGGAUAGGAGCUCCUGCUGCAGGGUGGGGGGUGGAAAGUUUCGGCGGUUGGGGAUGGACUCGCGGCUUAUCAGCUUGUUGGUGGGGUAGUGGCUUACCAAGGCUUUGACGGGUAGCCGGCCUGGGAGGGUGACCGGCCACAUUGGGACUGCGAGACGGCCCAGACUCCUACGGGAGGCAGCAGUGGGGAAUAUUGCACAAUGGGCGGAAGCCUGAUGCAGCAACGCCGCGUGCGGGAUGACGGCCUUCGGGUUGUAAACCGCUUUCGCCUGUGACGAAGCGUGAGUGACGGUAAUGGGUAAAGAAGCACCGGCUAACUACGUG
rnacentral:rRNA from 1 species